UUAUUGUGUAGGCAUGUUGAGAUAUAAUAAAUAUGAUCUAUAAAUAGGUGCAUGUCUAAGUAAGUCAUCUAGUGAUGAACUUGAUUAGUAAAAGAAUAACAUAAAAAAUUUUAAAAGACGAGAAAAUUCAUUUAAGCGGUAUCAUCGAAUGGUAAGUGUGUGUGUAGCAUUUUGGUGUGUGACUGUAGUGAACCCUACCCGUGGAUAUGGUUUCAGCCAGACAUAACGAAACGAUAAGAACUGUAAACUAAAUUGUAACGUAUUUACGUAGUAGAAAGGAUCUUUACUACCCUCGUUGAUGAUCGUGGAAACGACAUUGCGCAGUAAAAUUAUUUUUAAUAAAUCAUAAACUGAUAUGAAUGAAUAGAAAAUCACGAGUGAAGUUUACGAUACUAAAAUACUGAACUGCUUAUUGCUUAAAUUAUAAUACUGAAUAUUGAAUUGUACUAUUUAUGAAACUGUUGAUAUCGUUAGUUAUAAUACUGAAAUAAGAAAUUUUGAAUAUUUACUGAAUAAAUUAAUUUAGAAGAUUUGGUGAUUGAGUGUGUGCAUGUUUUUGUUAUGGGCACUGCCCAUUUUCCUUACAAAGUCCAUGAAACUCACCCUAAUUCACACCCCCCCUCCAAUGCAGAUUAGUUCAGAUCAAGAGUAAGUUCAAGGUCCAAGAAAGAUUUUAAAGAACAUUUGGUGAUUUUAAGAGUUUUAUCUUAUAAAGUCAACUUAAUUAUAUUAUAGUGAUACAAUGUAAAAUAAUUUAUAAGUCUCAUGACUUGUAAUUUCGUAUAAAAAAUGAUUGAAU
rnacentral:lncRNA from 1 species